GACGAACGCUGGCGGCGUGCUUAACACAUGCAAGUCGAACGGUGAAGCGCCUUCCUUUUUGGUGGGUGUGGAUGAGUGGCGAACGGGUGAGUAACACGUGAGUAACCUGCCCCCUUCUUCUGGAUAACCGCAUGAAAGUGUGGCUAAUACGGGAUAUUCUGGGUCUGUCGCAUGAUGGGUCUGGGAAAGAUAUUGUUUCGGUGGGGGAUGGGCUCGCGGCCUAUCAGCUUGUUGGUGGGGUGAUGGCCUACCAAGGCGGUGACGGGUAGCCGGCCUGAGAGGGUGGACGGUCACACUGGGACUGAGACACGGCCCAGACUCCUACGGGAGGCAGCAGUGGGGAAUAUUGCACAAUGGGCGCAAGCCUGAUGCAGCGACGCCGCGUGAGGGAUGGAGGCCUUCGGGUUGGGAACCUCUUUCGCCAGUGAAGCAGGCCUGCCUCGUUUGUGGGUGGGUGGACGGUAGCUGGAUAAGAAACGCCGGCUAACUACGU
rnacentral:rRNA from 1 species